AGACCCAGAAAGCUUUAGACCCAGGAACACGCCAGGCAGUUCUGGCCCCACCGCCUUGGGCCUGGUGCCUCGGCUCCAGGCUGUGUCCUGGGACAGUGAGAACUUUGGGCUGUGGGCUCAGAGGGUCCACUGAUCAGGGCCUGAGAGGCUCGUCCAGCCAGCGGAGGCCAAGGCCCCGAAACUCCAGUGGCUGACAACAGCGGAGGCUCGGCACUUGCUCCCAUCCCACGGCCGCUGCGGGUCCGCUGCACCUCUCCACACCAUCUUCGCCUCAGGACCCACUCCAGCGUCCUCACCAAGGGGAGGACAGAGGCAGAGGACCACAGCUGGCCCUUAGGUGUGACACUGUCGUUUCUGCCUGUGCCUUAGUGGCCUGAGCAAAUCACAGGGCCACUCCUGAGUUCAAAAGGUGGAGAAGUGGUGCCUUAGAACAUGUAAACGGUACUGGAAUCACCCGUCUCUCAAGGUUCGAUAGAACUUGUCUGCAAGCCUAGCUGGGUCCAGCCGUGUUUAGCUCUGAUGGAUGAACUUAGUCUACACGCUGAUGGGAGUACCACACUACAAGUCAGCAAAAUGUGAAAUCUGCCGAACACGCCACGCUGAGUUGCAGCUUACAUCUCUGAUCUCAUGGGAACAGCCUGAGCCUGUGUAGCACGCUCUUCUACUGACAGUUCCCGCUGGAAGAACUGUCAUGUGACAAAUGGCCAAGAGUGACCAAGAAGGUUCCUCGACCACUUACUGAAAACUCUCCAAGGAUUUAUUUCAUAAAAGCAUCCUAUCAAG